rnacentral:rRNA from 1 species
AGUGAACGCUGGCGGUAGGCCUAACACAUGCAAGUCGAACGGCAGCACAGUAAGAGCUUGCUCUUACGGGUGGCGAGUGGCGGACGGGUGAGGUAUACAUCGGAAUCUACUUUUUCGUGGGGGUUAACGUAGGGAAACUUACGCUAAUACCGCAUACGACCUACGGGUGAAAGCAGGGGAUCUUCGGACCUUGCGCGAUUGAAUGAGCCGAUGUCGGACUAGCUAGUUGGCGGGUUAAAGGCCCACCAAGGCGACGAUCCGUAGCUGGUCUGAGAGGAUGAUCAGCCACACUGGAACUGAGACACGGUCCAGACGCCUACGGGAGGCAGCAGUGGGGAAUAUUGGACAAUGGGCGGAAGCCUGAUCCAGCCAUACCGCGUGGGUGAAGAAGGCGUUCGGGUUGUAAAGCCCUUUUGUUGGGAAAGAAAAGCAGCAGGUUAAUACCACGCUGUACUGACGGUACCCAAAGAAUAAGCACCGGCUAACUUCGUG